UUGAGAUUUUCAUCAAGAAAUAUGUUCAGUGCUAUGGGUGUGGAAACCCUGAAACUGAGAUCCUUAUCACUAAAACUCAGAUGAUCCAACUGAAGUGUGCUGCAUGUGGUUUUAUUUCUGAUGUAGACAUGAGAGACAAGCUGACAACCUUUAUUCUUAAAAACCCACCCGAGUCUAAGAAGGGAGCCAAAGACAAGAAGGCAAUGAGAAGAGCUGAAAAGGAGCGUCUAAAGGAAGGUGAAGCUGCUGAUGAAGAGCUGAAGAAGCUUAAGAAAGAAACAAAGAAAAAGGUUUCUUCCAAGGAAGCCACUGCAAAACCUACCUUGAAAAAGAAAGCUAGCGGCUCUGAUGAUGAUCAUGCAUCCCCACCCAAAAGGCAUGUGAAUGUCAGGGAAGAGGAGGAAGAAGAUGAUGAUGAUGUUCAAUGGCAAACUGAUACAUCAAUGGAAGCUGCACAACAGCGCAUACAGGAACAGUUGAGUGCUGUGACUGCUGAAAUGGUUAUGCUCUCCACAAAUGAGACAGAGAAGAAGCCCAAGGCAGCUACUACGCAAGCUCGCCAAAGUUCCAAGGUUGUUUCUGCACCCUCUGAGGAUGAUCCCAAAACUGAGAAUGGAGAGAAAACAUCCGAGACUCUUGUUGAGGAUGUGAAAAUACAUCUGAAAAAGGGAGUUACUGCCAGCCAAUUUCAAUCUUUCUUGGGUUCGCUCUCUGGAUCCCCUCAGGACAUAGUUACUGCUGUCUACGAGGCACUCUUGGAUGGUGUGGAGAAAGCAUUCGCCAAGGAGCUUAUGAAGAAGAAAGGUUAUCUGCUUGCUGCUGUUGGUAAAGAGGAUGGGUCACAGCUAUGUUUGCUCAGAGCACUGGAAGUAUUCUGUGGGAAAUCUAACCCAGCAGCUGUGAAGGAAGUAGCACUCGUUUUGAAAGCUUUGUAUGAUGCUGAUGUGUUGGAGGAGGAGUUUGUAGUGCAGUGGUAUCAAGAGGGUGUUGCUGGGGUUCAGAAGGACUCCAAAAUUUGGAAGAAUGUCAAACCCUUCAUUGACUGGCUUCAAAGUGCCGAGUCCGAGUCCGAGGAGGACUGAGAUCACAACUGUCGUUCCUUAAUCCAGACUGUUCUCUGGGGGUUUACCUUCUAUCAUCAUCUAGGAUAUAUGCCUGCUUAGCUUGUGACUAUUUGCUAGUUCGGUAUUUUCAUGUUUUCCUUUAUUUUUUGUUUUGCUUGUGUCUGUACUUUCAUACUUGUUGCUACUUCUGUCAUGUGUUCUGUGUCUGUCUUCUUUUUGAUGUUUUAAGGCGAAUAAGAUUUGGGAAGUCUUGAGCUAUUUUAUUCUUGUUGUGGGUGAAUUAUUUAGAGUUUAAAUGCAUAUUCUUGUUGUGCAAGUGCUGACGCUCUUGUAAUGCCAGCUAAGUUUCUUCAUCUGAUGAGACAAAAUCCCAAAACAAACAUAAAGGGAAGAGAUUGAAAAUAGCACCACUGCAUCGCGAUUUCAAAUGCCACAAUAGGCAACAAAGGAACUUUGUAAUUGCGAUUAUUAUAAGGACGUAAUAUUGUAAAUCACAGAAUGAGGAUUAUAGUGCGGAACUUAAAGAGAGGUGUCUGAAAUUAAUUAUAAUCUUUCGCGUGCUUUGUUUUAAAUGUCAUCAUAAUACAUCUUUUAUGAUUAUUUCAAUUCAAAGUAUUUUUUUGAAUAUUCCCAUUACAAAUAAUUAGGUUCCCCGGUUCGUCUGGAUAUUUACAACUUUUUAGGGGUUCAAUAAGUUUUUCUCUGUGCCCAUAACAAUAACUUACCUAGAUUUAGUACUACCUUCUUGAUUUUAUGGAAAUUCCAAUAUGCAUGUUAAUUAUUGAGCCUUUAACGUAGUAACAAACUGAAUGCUAAUUUUGGGGAUUAGAUAUAUUAAUCAUUUAUAUUCUUGAAAUUCAUUAUUUUCCUUUUGAUGGAGGAAGUAAAUUAAUCGAGUGACUUUUUCUAUUUUAUAGUAAAAUCGUAAAAGUUUGCAAUAUUGAUAUUUAAAUUUAUUGUGAAGUUUAAAUUUAUUUAUCCUCAAAAAGUAUUAGUUGAAUUUGUUAGUGUGAUCUAAAUUCACGUAAAUCAAACCUAACAAUCUAUAUAUACAAAAAAAAAAAACAUAAAUCACAAUAACGAAUGUAAACGAUUAUUAGAUCAAGAAUAAAUAUAACAAAGUAUGAAUAUUUUACUUUGAGUAUGAAAUUUGUGUCGUCUUAAACGAGAAUUUAGAACCCGUAAAAGCAACAUAUACCAAAAGCUUUGAAUACAUAGAACUUUUGUUGUUGUAAUGGUACAAUACUGAGUAUUGCGAUGAAUACAAAGAAUUAUAACAAGAUUAUUUAUAUCUAAUCAUAGAAUUCUAUUUUCGUGAAUCCCACUAUGAUCUAUCGAUAGUGUAUUCAUCUCCAUUUUAUAAUGUUUGAUAAAAAUCUCACGCGACGAUAUGAUCCCGACAACUUCUCUAUAUUUGAAAUCGAUUUUCAUAACUAAACGAGAUUAACAUCCUAACAUCGAUCUCAGAUGUUUUUCUGUGGAUAUCAGACAUGGCGACAGAAUCCUAGAACAAUAUAAAACAAAAGCCUUUUAUUGUUAUAAAUUAUAAUAGUAAAAUAGUGACUAUGGAAUGUGUUUAAAAAAUAAUAAAGGAUCUUUUAAUAUCUAAACCCUAAAAUUUUAUUUUACAUAAUUUUCACUUGUAUGAUUUUUCAAUUGUGCAUUUAUUUCCAUCUUAUAAUGGUUAGCGAAAAUUUCAAAAUCUAGUUCAAAACAACUUUUAAUACUCGAUGUUGUUUCUUUCUUGAGCUAGAUAGAUUCCACACCGUAUAACAUUCGUCUGACCUAUUGUAUCUGUCACGUGUUUAUCGAUCCGUUAAACAAUAUUUAUUUUAUUUUACAUAAAUUUCACUUGUACAUUUUUUUAAUUGUACAUUAUCUCCAUCUUAUAAUAAUUAACGAGAAUCUCAAAAUCUAAUUCAAAACAACUUUUUAUACUCGAUAUUAUUUCUUUCUUGUGCUAAAUAGAUUCCAUACCUAUAACAUUCGUCGGACCUAUUGUACAUGCCACAUGUCUAUCGAUUAAUUUUAAAUUUUUAGGAGGAAAAAAAAACGUGAAACUGUAAAGCAGAUUUUCAUAUUUCAACGUGGCUAAAUUAUAUUUCAUUACACAUACAUCAUAACGGCCUCGAUGAAAACACGUGGAUUGAUCAUAGAGGUUCGGUGAAAAUUAGAAACAAAAAUCAAGAAAUAAAAUUUUGAAAUUUCUUAAAAUUUUUGGAGAAGUAUCUGGAUUGGUUUUACUCUUCUCUUCAAUUCCUUCAAACCCUAUAUAUUAAGGAAUCUGUACGCCGCCUCAUCUAUUCACCUUUCUAUAUAUAUAUUGUAUGUAUUAUUAACCCUAAAAUCUUCCUCUACCAGUUCCUCCAAAUUCUUCAAUCAAUCGGUAAGAUUUCUAUUUACUUUUAUUCGUUCUGUACUUUUGAUCAUUCUCAACUGUUUGAUUCAAUGUCGCUUUCGUGUUUUUAAUUGAUGAUUUAUCAAUGUGGUUAUACUUGUCUUGUUUUCUUCUCUCCGUGUAUAUCGAUGGUUAUCUUCUCUGUUUCUCUGAUUUAUAUGAGCUGGUUAUGAGUAAUUGAGUAUCGAUAAAUUGAUCAUAUAUUAAUAUUUGACGAUUGAUGCUUAAUUUGUGAAGUUUUAGAUGUUUCAAUCCUUUACCCUAGUUUAUUAAGCUUAGGUUGUAUUAACUAUGGCCUGGGCCAUUAGUGAGUAGCAUAUCUCGAAUGGUUUUUUUUUCUAGCAAGUGUUACUUCACAUUGCAAUUUCAACGUGAUAUAUGAAAGGUUUGUCGUUUGAGUUGUAUGAUUUUAUAUAUAUCUUAAAGCGAGUGUUACUUUACUUUACGAUUCAAAAACUUCAUUGACGAAGUAAUGUUAUGCUUUACCGAGUAAAUAUGCCAAAGUAGUGAGAACAAUACGUAUAGCAUUCUAUUUAUUCAUAUACAUUGUUUUUCCAGGGAGGCAUUUAUUUUUCCUUAAAUUUUCAGCUACUUGUUUCGGCUAUACAACUGGAAGUUGAAACAAUUAGGUCAAAGAUCUCCUUUGUAUCUAAGGUGGAAGCGAAAUCUGCAACCUGAUAUUAUUUAUCAGUUUUCCCUUUGUCCUAUUUUUACAUUGCUUAUAUUUAGUAAUAGGUUUAAAAAAAAAAUUCAUGUACAACUUACUCAUUUUUUAUUGAGAAGGUAACAGGAGCUUACUUUGUGUCUUUUGGUGUGCCUUUUUUUUCUGAAGGUUGCGGGCGGGGUUUCAAGUUCUAGUUUCUCAAGUUGAAACUUCUUUUAUGUCCGAACAAGCCACCCUUUAUUUGGGAUCCGUUGGAUUGCUUGGAGAAUAUUGUCCAACGUCGAGAAGAAAGUGUUCUGAUAGGGUUGAUGACUGUAUGCAUCUUGACUUGUUUCAGCAAGGACACUUAGAGCUUAGUGGUUGCACCCAGAUACAACCUUCUCUCAACAAAUUUUGGGCCAAAGGAUCAUCUGGAAAUCCCUAACACCUUAUUUAGGAAUUUUCACUGAAUCAGAAAUGGCUUUGCAGAAUAUUGGAGCUGGCAACAGUGAUGAUGCCUUCUACAGGUAUAAGAUGCCGAGGAUGAUUACCAAGAUAGAGGGGCGUGGGAAUGGCAUCAAGACAAACAUCGUCAACAUGGUUGACGUUGCAAAAGCUCUAGCGCGGCCAGCAUCUUACACCACAAAACAUUUUGGGUGCGAGCUUGGAGCUCAGUCGAAGUUUGAUGAAAAAACUGGGACUUCCCUUGUCAAUGGAGCUCAUGAUACUGCCAAGCUUGCUGGUCUUCUUGAGAUUUUCAUCAAGAAAUAUGUUCAGUGCUAUGGGUGUGGAAACCCUGAAACUGAGAUCCUCAUCACUAAAACUCAGAUGAUCCAACUGAAGUGUGCUGCAUGUGGUUUUAUUUCUGAUGUGGACAUGAGAGACAAGCUGACAACCUUUAUUCUUAAAAACCCACCCGAGUCUAAGAAGGGAGCCAAAGACAAGAAGGCAAUGAGAAGAGCUGAAAAGGAGCGUCUAAAGGAAGGUGAAGCUGCUGAUGAAGAGCUGAAGAAGCUUAAGAAAGAAACGAAGAAAAAGGU
rnacentral:lncRNA from 1 species